CGCCUCAUCCUCCGACCUCCUCGCACUCGACCACCACCACCGCCACCAAAACAGACUCCCCACCAGCCCCACCAAGAAACAACAACAACCAGACUCCUCCUCCUCGCCGGCGGAGGCCACCGCCAGGAGGACAACCAAAAAGGACUACUCCUCCGACUCGGCCCAGACGGAGGACAUCAACGCGGGCGUGUUCGCCACCGACGACUUCCGCAUGUACAGC
rnacentral:lncRNA from 1 species